UUAUUUGUAGAUCUUACUUUGCUUAACAUUUUUGCUAUUAACAGUUUAUCUGUAUCUAUAAUAAUAUUCAAGAUAUUGACCAAAAACUGCAAAAUUUCCUUAAAAUUACCAAUUAAGUGGCAGCAACCCAACAAUGGUUUGUUUGAUUCAUUUGAAAAUUUCAGGGCUGAUAGAUCUUGACCUAAUGAACAUUUUUACCACAUGUCAGAUUUGCUCUAAAUGCUUUCGUUUUUGAGAUAUAAGCCAAAAACUGCAUUUGACCCCUAUGUUCUAUUUUCAGUAACG
rnacentral:lncRNA from 1 species